CCACCGUCAGAGUCAUGGUUUUAAUUUGAGGUGAAAAUUAUUGAAUGUGCUCAUGUGAGAAGGCCUCAAACGCGUGGCCCAGCCUCGGGACGCAGACCCCCCGGGAGACAUUCUGAAGACGACACCACAUUUUUCUUUCACACUCUUGGAUCUGAGUUAUUAGCUCGGGGGCUGAAAGCGUGCUGAUGUGAAAAGGAGCCGUGAUGAGAAAAACAGGCUGAUGUCCAUCAUGAAGCUGACCUCAGCUGAGGCCAGAGAUACGAGGAGAACGACGCUCCUCAUCAUACUCAUACAAAUGAAGCAUAUGCUUACUUCAUAUCAGCAGAUGGCGUUGGUCUGGUUCUUGUAGCCGUUCUUCAUGCAUUCGUCCACAUAGGACUUGGGGUCGCAGCCUGACAUGAGGAUCUCC